CUACGGGUUGCACCAGUGAGGAAUAUUGCACAAUGGGGGGAACCCUGAUGCAGCAACGCCGCGUGGAGGAUGACGCAUUUCGGUGUGUAAACUCCUUUUAUAUGUCAAGAAAAUGACGGUAGCAUAUGAAUAAGCACCGGCUAACUCCGUGCCAGAGCCGCGGUAAUACGGCGGGUGCAAGCGUUACUCGGAAUCACUGGGCGUAAAGGACGCGUAGGCGGGUUGGAAAGUCAGGUGUGAAAUCCUACAGCUUAACUGUAGAACUGCACUUGAAACUUCUAAUCUAGAGUAUGGGAGGGGGAGAUGGAAUUAGUGGUGUAGGGGUAAAAUCCGUAGAUAUCACUAGGAAUACCUAAAGCGAAGGCGAUCUCCUGGAACAUUACUGACGCUAAGGCGUGAAAGCGUGGGGAGCAAACAGGAUUAGAUACCCCCGUAGUC
rnacentral:rRNA from 1 species